UUUUCAUCCCUGUCAGAGGCAAAAAUAGCUGUAUAAACGGCACGUUCAUCUAAGUGAACAUGGCUCUGACAGAAUACCUAGCUGUACCCCUACAAGUGCAUCAAAGAAAGCGUCAUGACAA
rfam:Yersinia kristensenii ATCC 33638 contig00482, whole genome shotgun sequence.